ACAAUAAAACUUGACUUGUACAGAUAUAAAAGGGGCAACAUUCUCCCUUUUACAACAGGUUCCAUGUUGGCAACUGCUAAGCAGAGGUGGCUAAGAAAAGCAGAUCAGUAGUAAAGUAAGAAGACUUGGGAGUGAGCCAUGAGGUCUCCAGGUGUCACUAAUGUAUUCCAGGGCGAUGGUCCGGAAGAGACAGAAGGAGAAGAUCUCCUAGCUGGAUGCAAGAUGCUGAGAUGGGGAGGAAGAGUUGAACAGAGAGACCUGUGCCAAGUGGGACAUCCUCAGCUUCACUCUGCAGUACAGAUGAGGCCUUUCCAACCCAAUGGAGAGUGGAAGUGGACUCCAGUCGGGAUUUGGUUUCCAUGGUAACUCAUCAGCCAUGGUUUGUUCUU
rnacentral:lncRNA from 1 species